UACGAAUGGAGCGAGCGUUGUUCGGAAUCAUUGGGCGUAAAGCGUAUGUAGGCGGACUAGAAAGUCAGAAGUGAAAUCCCAAGGCUUAACCUUGGAAUUGCUUUUGAAACUCCUAGUCUCGAGUCCCGGAGGGGUUGACGGAAUUCCUAGUGUAGAGGUGAAAUUCGCAGAUAUUAGGAGGAACACCAGUGGCGUAGGCGGUCAACUGGACGGGUACUGACGCUGAGAUACGAAAGCGUGGGGAGCAAACAGG
rnacentral:rRNA from 1 species